UACGUAGGGUGCAAGCGUUGUCCGGAAUUAUUGGGCGUAAAGAGCUCGUAGGCGGUCUGUCACGUCGGCCGUGAAAACCUGGGGCUCAACUCCGGGCCUGCAGCCGAUACGGGCAGACUAGAGUUCGGCAGGGGAGACUGGAAUUCCUGGUGUAGCGGUGAAAUGCGCAGAUAUCAGGAGGAACACCGGUGGCGAAGGCGGAUCUCUGGGCCAUUACUGACGCUGAGGAGCGAAAGCGUGGGGAGCGAACAGG
rnacentral:rRNA from 1 species